GACGAACGCUGGCGGCGUGCCUAACACAUGCAAGUCGAACGGAGUGGGGACGGGUGAGUAACACGUGGGUAACCUCCCAUCAGAGGGGAUAACACUUGGAAACAGGUGCUAAACCGAUACUGAUGGAUGGACUCGCGGUGCAUUAGCUAGUUGGUGAGGUAACGGCUCACCAAGGCCACGAGGCAUAGCCGGCUUGAGAGGGCGACCGGCCACACUGGGACUGAGACACGGCCCAGACUCCUACGGGAGGCAGCAGUGGGGAAUCUUCGACAAUGGACGAAAGUCUGACCGAGCAACGCCGCGUGAGUGAAGAAGGUUUUCGGAUCGUAAAGCACUGUUGGUAGAGAAGCGGUAUCUAACCAGAAAGCCACGGCUAACUACGUGCCAGCAGCCGCGGUAAUAC
rnacentral:rRNA from 1 species